rnacentral:rRNA from 1 species
UACGUAGGUGGCAAGCGUUUGUCCGGAAUUAUUGGGCGUAAAGCGCGCGCAGGUGGUUUCUUAAGUCUGAUGUGAAAGCCCACGGCUCAACCGUGGAGGGUCAUUGGAAACUGGGAGACUUGAGUGCAGAAGAGGAUAGUGGAAUUCCAAGUGUAGCGGUGAAAUGCGUAGAGAUUUGGAGGAACACCAGUGGCGAAGGCGACUAUCUGGUCUGUAACUGACACUGAGGCGCGAAAGCGUGGGGAGCAAACAGG